UACGUAGGUGGCAAGCGUUUGUCCGGAAUUACUGGGCGUAAAGCGUGCGCAGGCGGUUGUGCAAGACAGAUGUGAAAUCCCCCGGGCUCAACCUGGGAAUUGCAUUUGUGACUGCACGGCUAGAGUGUGUCAGAGGGGGGUAGAAUUCCACGUGUAGCAGUGAAAUGCGUAGAGAUGUGGAGGAAUACCGAUGGCGAAGGCAGCCCCCUGGGAUAACACUGACGCUCUGCACGAAAGCGUGGG
rnacentral:rRNA from 1 species